UUGCGGCAAUAUCACGUUGGAACUCCGGUUCUCCUACGAUCUCCGAAGUUAAGAAAAGCCGUCCUCGGUCAGUAUUUAGAUGGGUUAGAGCUUGAGAAUAUUGGAUGAUGUAAG